GUCCCUUCCUUGUCCCAAUCUAUGUUCCCCAUAGCUAUACCAAGACCCCUUCUUUACCACAACAUCCAUCAUUUCAGCACAAUCCAAAAUGCAACCCAGUUUACUCACUCCCUCCCCAAAUAUAAUUUCAAACUCAGCUUGCUUGUAUGGCCUUGAUACCUUACUCUUUUGCACUCUUACACGAACCCGAAGCCCUAUAUCUUCGUCUCCUUUAACAGACUUG
rnacentral:misc_RNA from 1 species